AUUGAACGCUGGCGGCAGGCCUAACACAUGCAAGUCGAACGAGUGGCGGACGGGUGAGUAUUGUCUGGGAAACUGCCUGAUGGAGGGGGAUACCUACUGGAAACGGUAGCUAAUACCGCAUACCAUCAGAUCUGCCCAGAUGGGAUUAGCUAGUUGGUGGGGUAACGGCUCACCAAGGCGACGAUCCCUAGCUGGUCUGAGAGGAUGACCAGCCACACUGGAACUGAGACACGGGCCAGACUCUGACGGAAGGACGCAGUGGGGAAUAUUGCACAAUGGGCGCAAGCCUGAUGCAGCAAUGCCGCGUGUAUGAAGAAGGCCUUCGGGUUGUAAAGUAAUUUCAGCGGGGAGGCGUUACCCGAAGAAGAAGCACCGGCUAACUACGUGCCAGCAGCCGCGGUAAUUC
rnacentral:rRNA from 1 species